rnacentral:rRNA from 1 species
UACGGAGGAUCCAAGCGUUAUCCGGAUUUAUUGGGUUUAAAGGGUGCGUAGGCGGAUUGAUAAGUUAGAGGUGAAAUGUCCGAGCUCAACUCGGGAACUGCCUCUAAUACUGUUGAUCUAGAGAGUAGAUGCGGUAGGCGGAAUGUAUGGUGUAGCGGUGAAAUGCUUAGAGACCAUACAGAACACCGAUUGCGAAGGCAGCUUACCAAUCUAUAUCUGACGUUGAGGCACGAAAGCGUGGGGAGCAAACAGG